UACGAAGGGUGCAAACGUUGUUCGGAAUUACUGGGCGUAAAGGGCGCGUAGGCGGCCUUCUAAGUCGAACGUGAAAUCCCCGGGCUCAACCCGGGAACUGCGUCCGAUACUGGAAGGCUUGAAUCCGGGAGAGGGAUGUGGAAUUCCAGGUGUAGCGGUGAAAUGCGUAGAUAUCUGGAGGAACACCGGUGGCGAAGGCGACAUCCUGGACCGGUAUUGACGCUGAGGCGCGAAAGCCAGGGGAGCAAAGCGGG
rnacentral:rRNA from 1 species